AUUUAUUUUUGUUACUAAAAUUAAAUUCAGUUUGUCCCUGCAUAAAUCUUUUUAGUAUUAAACUGCUUUGGAAUGAAUUUUUUUGGGGGACAACAGCAGGAUUAGGGCUAUCUUCUAGAUGCCAUCAGGUAGGUGCGCUAGCGUAGUCGUUUGUUGUAGCAUUAUAUCCCUUUUCCCCUUUUUAAAAAAUGUUUGUAAGACGCCUGAAAUUUGUAUAAGUUAGUUAUAUAAGUAGUUGAAUAAGAAUUGGUGAGACUUGGAAAAUAGAAGAGGACAGAGAAGAUGGAAGAGGAUUGCUUUGAAAUAGAAGGAAAGGAGAUAGAAGAUGUUUGAGGAAAGGAGGAGGAUUUUGUUCACUCUAACGGAAGUUUUUUGAAUGAAAUUUGGAGCAACUGUAUUAAGAUGAUAUUGGUAUCUUGGACAUCAAGUUUCUAUUUAUGUAUUUUUAAGUUUUUAUUUAUGUAUUACACAAGCAUAUCUAUUGGUGGAAAUGUAGAAUGGCAGCUGUUAUAACAACUUGGAUGAAUUAUUAGAAACACCAAAGAAGUUUUGACAUAAUUUAAACUGGGAAAGGCUCACAAAUGACCAAUUUAUUCUACAGUAGAUACAGGACAUUAAAUUGACUUCAACAACGCAGAUAUCUCAAAAAUGAUAUCUGUUCGAGUGAUGUACUGGGCGUUAAUAGUUGCUGUUACAAAUCUGCAAACGAGUUACUACUGUACAUAAGUUGGAGGAAUGCCAAGGAAUUUUUUGAAUAAAGUGAUACUGAAAAUCUUACCCACAAAUGACAAUUUUAAGAUACAAUCAAUAGUAUUUGGAUUGAUUGGCCUUCAUUACCGUUGCGCUAUG
rnacentral:lncRNA from 1 species